rnacentral:rRNA from 1 species
AGGCAAAAGCUCAGAUUUGAAAUCUGGCCCCGUUAGGGGUCCGAGUUGUAAUCUGCAGAUGGCGCUUUGGCAAGGCCCCCGGCUCCGAGUCCCCUGGGACGGGAUGCCGCAGAGGGUGAGAGCCCCGUGUACGGGCGGGGGGCUGCGCUGUGUAAAGCGCCUUCGAA